UUGCUUCGACAGCACAUAUACUAAAAUUGAAACAAUAGAGAUUAGCAUGGCACCUACGCAAGGAUGACACGCAAAUUCGUGAAGCACCACAUACUUUU
rnacentral:snRNA from 1 species